GCAUAACGCGAAGAACCUUACCAGGUCUUGACAUCCCUUUGACCGUCCUAGAGAUAGGGCUUUCCUUCGGGACAGAGGAGACAGGUGGUGCAUGGUUGUCGUCAGCUCGUGUCGUGAGAUGUUGGGUUAAGUCCCGCAACGAGCGCAACCCUUGAACUUAGUUGCCAGCGAGUCAGGUCGGGCACUCUAGGUUGACUGCCGGUGACAAACCGGAGGAAGGCGGGGAUGACGUCAAAUCAUCAUGCCCCUUAUGACCUGGGCUACACACGUACUACAAUGGCCGGUACAAAGGGCAGCGAAGCCGCGAGGUGGGGCCAAUCCCAGCAAAGCCGGUCUCAGUUCGGAUUGCAGGCUGCAACUCGCCUGCAUGAAGUCGGAAUUGCUAGUAAUCGCGGAUCAGCAUGCCGCGGUGAAUACGUUCCCGGGUCUUGUACACACCG
rnacentral:rRNA from 1 species